CCAGGAGUAACCUGUGAGCAUCACCAGGUUGUGGCCAAAAAACAAAAAACAAAGAAAAAAGAAUUACAAAAUUAGAUAUGAUAUGUAAGCUAUUCAAUUAUCUACUACUUGCACUACAUUUACCUAUAAAAUGAGAUUUUUUUCUUCCACUGUAUUGUAACACAUUGUCUUUUGGAAAUGGAGACUCUUAUAUACAACAAUAUGAUCAUUGUGGAUAAAAACUUAUGAGAAUGUUAGCUCAUGUUUUGUGAGGAAUUGAACUAAUCAUUAGUUAAAAAAAAAUUCCUUAGCAAUGGACCUGUCAUAUUUAGAAUGGAAGAACAAUCACAAUUUAUGAAAGUUCAAAGUGACAGUGCAAUUAAAGAACUGAGCAAAGUUAAAAUUAUGGUUAAUAACACCGUCCUGCAUUUGUACAACAUAAUGAUUUCAGAACUUUGGUUUUGUACCUUGGACGAAAUUAUUCUGUUUUAUUUUAGUACAUCUUUGCAAGCAAGUUGGGGCUAGCACAGUGUAACUUAACAGCUCUUUACUAUGAAGAUUUGGCCAGAAAAAAAAGGUACCCAGAGAGGAAAUCCAAGAUAUUAAUAAUGAUCUGUAAUUUCUAGCAUCUGAAUCAAAUUCAAGUAUAACAUUGGCCAAGAAAAAUGAAAUCCUGUUGCUAACAGAUGAAACAGAACUCUGUGGUUUAAGAAACCCAAAACACUGUAGAAGAAACAGUGCUGUAACUUCUACAAGCCAUGCCAGUCUUCUUUGGUAGGUUUGUUGGAUGUAUUUAAGUGCCUACUGUGUACUGGGCACUGGAUGGAGUACUAGGGUCUCUGGGAACCUGUCUCUCUGGUCUGCUGCUGUAUUCUCUCCCAGGGCAUUAUAUUUAUGACUGUAGAUUCAUUUCUUUCAACCCAGUAUAAACAUAGACUUUAUUGGUUCCUUCAGAAUAAACACCAAGUCUCAGAAAUCCAGGUUUUGGAAGAAUCAGCAACCCCCAAAGUGUUAGAUAAAUUUCUACCAAAGUGGCAGAGCACAAAGGGAGACAAAAUCCAACAUUUUCAAUGAUGGAACAGGGUUGGCUUUGGGGGAACUGUUUUCAACAUAGGGAUAGAGAGUCUGUCAGCUCCUGUACGAAGGAAGUAGCUGGCAGUUCUAUGCUCUAUUUUGAAUAUGCACCAGUUCCUCAAACACAGAACAUUCCCAAUGUCUCUGUCUCUCUCUUGCCUGAGUAAAGCCUGUGGCCAUCUGCCUGUCACAUGGCUGCUGUGGAGACUGAUUAUCAAGCCAAUUCUUAUGAGCAAACUGACUUUGUGUACAAAGUACCAAGAGCGUGCCUGUCUUUGACUGUUCCCAAUGCGGUGAUGGAGGUGGUGGUGACGUUUCCUUGGAAGGGUUGAUAAUAAGAGCCUCCCAUGGCCAACAGUGUGUACUUAGAAAAAUCUGACUGGCGCCUCAUGUGUUACUGAAGAUCAAGUGUCCUGCCUUGUAGAGGAGGUGAUAGAGUCCAAGUCCUCAGCUGUGUAGAACCCUCUGGCAGAGUGAACCGUGCUCCCGGGAUACAAUGCCGAUCUCUGGUGAAGAUGCCUGUCGUUUCAUAUCACACACGCCCCCUCCAUUUCUUUUGCACCCUACAAGUAUUAAUAAACAUUCUAGUAUGUGAGACUUUCUCAUAGGUGUCUCUGAGUCUCUGGCAAUUGUGCUAUCUCACCUUGCCGUGGAAGAACUUUCCCUGGCACCCUUGGGCUGUGGCUUCUUGGUUUUCUAUACUAAGCUGUGUCCCAUAUAAGGCAAAGCUAACACAGAAAUAUUUCUCAUUUUGUUUCGGAAACCUAAGGCAACAAUGCAACAUUGGCACUUAUCUAGGGUCCAUUAGAAAACUAUAUUUAUAAAGUUCAUUCCCUAAAGAAACAUGCCUAUGGUCAGUGGAAUAGCUCUAUUGAUUUCUGUUCUUCAGACUGUAGAUGAUAUGAAAUUUUGCUACCAGUAUAGAGUUGGCCAAACUAGAUGCAUAUAAAGAAACUACAAUAAAACAACAACAACAACAACAACAACAAAAAACAACCAUGAGGACUCACAAUUCUAACUCCAAGGCAAGAGGUGUGUAUCCUACAUCUCAAGUGCCUUGAUAUGUGGCCACAGGUCAGAUUUCUGGAAGUUGUUACUACUGUAUGAAUCUUAUGACUAAAUCUUUUGGCUUAAUCUAUUUCUGAAGUGCAUCACUUCUUAUUCUCAGGACAAAAUCUACCACGGUAGCAGAACUGGGUCACUCACUCAUGCACACACUCACAUAAGCCCAAGAACCACUGACAGAAAACAAUGAGGUAAUAUUUGUUGAC